UACGUAGGGUGCAAGCGUUAAUCGGAAUUACUGGGCGUAAAGCGUGCGCAGGCGGUUUUGUACGUCUGACGUGAAAGCCCCGGGCUUAACCUGGGAAUUGCGUUGGAGACUGCAAGGCUUGAAUCUGGCAGAGGGGGGUAGAAUUCCACGUGUAGCAGUGAAAUGCGUAGAGAUGUGGAGGAACACCGAUGGCGAAGGCAGCCCCCUGGGCCAACACUGACGCUCAGGCACGAAAGCGUGGGGAGCAAACAGG
rnacentral:rRNA from 1 species